GUCCACGCCGUAAACGAUGGAUACUAGCUGUGCGGAUGCAAAUCUGUGUGGCUAAGCGAAAGUGAUAAGUAUCCCACCUGGGAGUACGAACGCAAGUUUGAAACUCAAAGGAAUUGACGGGGCCCGCACAAGCGGUGGAGCAUGUGGUUUAAUUCGAUGAUACGCGAGGAACCUUACCAAGGCUUAAAAUGUAGGUUGACCGGAUUGGAAACAGUCCUUUCGCAAGACAACUUACAAGGUGCUGCAUGGUUGUCGU
rnacentral:rRNA from 1 species